GUGAACUCAGGAGGCAAACUGAGGAGUGAGGGUAGAAGGCAGAGGGAUGACCUGAGCUUGGCUGACUGGUCUAGAAGAUGUGAUCGCUGGCCGGUUGGCCACUAUCUGCCGGCAUGGGGACGUUCAUGAGGGUUACUACGGAGCAGAGGAAGCAGAUGUCAGGGCUUGGCAACGUGUUCUGAUCUGCAAAAGACCACAGUUUAACCCCCCUGAAUCGUGUAACACCACUGAAUACUACAGUAGAAACCCACAGGUGGACUUGUGAACUCGUUCAUAUCGCAGACAUCACACCGAGCUGUUGCUUCUUGAUUUAAAUGCCUUUAUUUCGUGUCUUGCCCUUCCCUGCUGCCUACUUUGGGAGCCCAACCUCAGUCAGCUGGUGGCCGUGUAGCACGUGGGAAGUCCCUCUGAGCUGUGGCGGCCAGCAUUGAGGCUGAUGCUGCUUUGUCUGCUGGGGAGGAACAAAAAUGAAGCAAACCAAAUGCUAAAAAUGUAAGAAGCAAACUUAAACAUCAAAAAGAUACCAAAAAGUCUUGGAGUCUCUUUUUCAAGUCCGAAGCUCUGGAUGCAUGGUGAAUGCAGACUUGGCUUCUUGUUUGAAGGAAUCUCUGUAAUAGCUUUGUUUUAUUUAGUCUUAAGUUAAGCAGCAUUGCAGUGGAGACCUGGAGGAUGUCUUCAAAUAGUUGCUUAAGGAAUGCAUUUACCUACUAACAGUAAGCCUUAAAGAAAAUUUAACGUUGUAUAUGCUUAGCUAAGGGUCUGCUCUGUGAGUAAGGGAAUGUUUCUGGAGGGGGGGAAGAAAGAUAAAUGUGCCUGGCAGGUGUGAUAGAGAUUCCAAGCCUGUGUGGGUAAAGGCCAUAUGUAAUUCCCUUUCCUUAUGUAAUUUGCCAUAUUUUUAUUUCCAGUAAAUGGAAGUAUUUAUUUGGGUGGCCCGAGCAGAAAUUAGCACUGACAAUUAUGAGUAUUAUUCCUUUGCAUCCCUUGGAAAAAAAAUCCUAAUUUAUAAUGAAGGAGAGAGCAAAGAAAAAAAUUAACUUUCCUCUGCUGUGAUUGGUAUAGCUAGUCAGGGGGGUUACUGAUAUUAAGUGCAUCAUGACUGCUGCACCUGAUAUAACAAAAAUUAAUUGCGUGUUUCAGUGACAGUCAAAUCAUUAUUGCUUUGUCCCACAAACCUAGCCCCAUUACAUGUAAGCAGGAUCGAGCCCAUUGGUUUCGUAAGGGCAAUUCAAAUGCAUGAAACCCCCCCCAAGUUUAGGCUCAGCCACAGGCAAACAAAAGUCUCCCGCACGUUAGGAACCAAAAAGCAGGUUUAGGAUGAAUUUUUCAUAUGAGUGUAACCCCAAGUAGGAAGAAAAAAAACUCCAUUAGGGUAGCAGUGGAAGCUAAAUGUUAAACAAGCUUGGAUCAGGAAAAAAAAAUUGUCAGAGCAGCAUAGUGGCACUUUAUCACUCUGUCAUCUGUUAAUAUGGAAGUUAUUAAAUAAAUAUGAAUUU
rnacentral:lncRNA from 7 species